GGGCAGUUGGGCCACGGGUGAUGGAUGGCCUAACAGAAGCUGGGUCAAUUAGCCAGGGUCAGAGACAUGGUUUCUGAGAUAGCUAGACACACAUCUGUGUCCUCUCCUCCACACAGUGGCAAAACAUCAUGAGCAUCAGAUCGAGGUACCAUACGAUGAAGGAGACAGUGAUGUAUGCUGGGGACUCUAGAGACCAUGGUAUCCCGCAAUGCCGUAUCUGAACCCCCACUUGGGAACUGUGGGGGGAAGAGAAAGCCAACCAGAGAAAGUGAAAUGAAGAGGAUGGAGACAGAGUUUGUAUGUUGGUGAUUCUACAGAGGUGGUGUAAAUUGCUGUCCCAGCACCUCCUCCCCACCAUAUUUCUGUGGAGAGUGGAUAGCCCAAAACCUGACUCAAAAAACUGUUGAAAAAUAAUGCAACGCAUGAUUUAUUAAUCAACAUAAUUGUUUCAUCUUGAGUUGUUCUUGAAUCAAAUGCAAAGGUAGUGGCAGAUUUUUUUUUGUUGUUUAUUUUUAAACACCUUUCUCCAAAAAAUGAAUCUGGUAUCACUACCAUAAUGUACCCAAUCAAAAUGUAUGUGCCUUAAGCCACACCUCAAGAAAUAUUGAAAAGCAUUUUGGAGCAAGUUAGUAAAUCUCCAUGUCCAAACCCUCCAUGAGACCCCAGGGCUAAUCCGUGGGCAGGAUUUGAAC